GCUCAUGUGACAAGGAAUUGAGUUAUUUGAGUGAGCUAUCAUGGAAAUGGACCUGCUGAUUUCCUGAUUUCAGGGCAGACCUUGAGCCAGAACCACCUACUUGAAUUCCUAACCCAAGAAAUGUGUUCUCACUCUAGCUACACAUCAAAUCUAUUACCUUUUAAAACUGCACAUGACCCUGGCUCAGAUUCCAAAGAAUUUGAUAAAAGAUCUGAGAUAUCAAUUAGAUGUGAUCUGCCUUCUCCCCUAUACAUAAUCAAAAGAGUAGCUGCUACUUAAAUGUGGAGGAAACUCAUAUAUGGAAUCAAAACAGUCACUGAAGAAAAAAAAAAUUUCCUCUUCUAAAACUCAAGGAAGGUGAUGACUUGGAGACUGUCUAGCAAUUGCUGUGCAUUAAUGGGGUGACAGUCAGAGGAAGACGCCUGGGGCAGAAGAGCUUCAGUGUAAGGAAAUCAGCCUUUACUGCUCUGCCCAAUCAUGUCAGCACCACUGCUCUUUCAAGGGGCUUCCCGCCAUUGUUGCUCCCUGCUCCGGAACACCCCAUGCUGCCAAAG